AUGCUCAAGCUUGAUCUCACGCACACUUUCGAUUCCAUAUCUUGGCCAUUCCUCUUUAAGGUCCUGCGCCAAUAUGGUUUCGGGAAUCGCUUCUUGGAGUGGAUCGCCAUUCUCCUGUGCUCUGCCAGCACACGCGUCCUGUUGAAUGGCAUACCAGGCCCACCUAUUUGGCACCAGGGAGGACUUCGCCAGGGCAACCCAUUGUCCCCGCAGCUGUUCGUGCUCGCGGUCGACACUCUCAGCCAGCUGAUGAGGCGUGCCCACGACAAUGGCAUCCUACAAAAACUCCAUCCCCGGAGGCCGAUCCCGGCGAUAUCGCUUUACGCCGACAACGUCAUGCUCUUCUGUCAUGCCACGGAGAGCGAU
rnacentral:rRNA from 1 species